rnacentral:tRNA from 1 species
GAGGGUAGAGCUCAGUGGUAGAGUGCAUUAUUAGCAUGCACAAGGUACUGGGUUCAAUCCCCAGUACCUCCA